rnacentral:rRNA from 1 species
CUGUGAUGCCCUUAGACGUUCUGGGCCGCACGCGCGCUACACUGACAGAGCCAACGAGUUCAUCACCUUGUCCGAAAGGU